ensembl:rRNA 5S_rRNA 5S ribosomal RNA
CUCUAUGGCCAUACCACCCUUAAUGUGCCUGGUCUCAUGUGAUCUUAGAAGCUAAGCAGGGUCAGACCUUGUGAGUACUUGGAUGGAAUAAAGAAACAAAUAGUGUGCUCACAGAGG